UACAGAGGGUGCAAGCGUUGUUCGGAUUUACUGGGCGUAAAGCGUGCGUAGGCGGUAUUGAGAGUCGCGGGUGAAACCCCCAAGCUUAACUUGGGAACUGCCUGCGAGACCUCAAUACUAGAGUGUGAGAGGGGAUGGUAGAAUUCCUGGUGUAGCGGUGAAAUGCGUAGAGAUCAGGAGGAAUACCGGCGGCGAAGGCGGCCAUCUGGCUCACAACUGACGCUCAGGCACGAAAGCGUGGGGAGCAAACAGG
rnacentral:rRNA from 1 species